GACGAAGGGGGCAAGCGUUGUUCGGAAUUACUGGGCGUAAAGCGAGUGUAGGUGGUUGUCAUAGUCAGGUGUGAAAGCCUUGAGCUCAACUCAAGAAAUGCACUUGAUACUGGGCGACUAGAGGACCGGAGAGGAUAGUGGAAUUCCCAGUGUAGUGGUGAAAUACGUAGAGAUUGGGAAGAACACCAGUGGCGAAGGCGGCUAUCUGGACGGUUUCUGACACUAAGACUCGAAAGCGUGGGGAGCAAACAGGAUUAGAUACCCUGGUAGUCCACGCCGUAAACGAUGGGUGCUAGACGUUGGCGAGCUUGCUCGUCAGUGUCGCAGCUAACGCGUUAAGCACCCCGCCUGGGGAGUACGGCCGCAAGGUUGAA
rnacentral:rRNA from 1 species